rnacentral:rRNA from 1 species
AUUGAACGCUGGCGGCAGGCCUAAAACAUGCAAGUCGAACGCCCUAGCAAUAGGGAGUGGCGCACGGGUGAGUAACAUGUGGGAAUAUGCCUUUUGGUACGGAACAACGUUUGGAAACGAACGCUAAUACCGUAUGGUCCCUCCGGGGUAAAGAUUUAUCGCCAAAAGAUUAGCCCGCACUAGAUUAACUAGUUGGUAAGGUAAUGGCUUACCAAGGCGACGAUCUAUAGCUGUUCUGGGAGGAAGAUCAGCCACACUGGGACUGAGACACGGCCCAGACUCCUACGGGAGGCAGCAGUUAGGAAUAUUGGACAAUGGGCGCAAGCCUGAUCCAGCCAUGCCGCGUGAGUGAUGAAGGCCUUCGGGUUGUAAAGCUCUUUAGCCGACGAAUAUAAUGACUGUAGUCGGAGAAUAAGCCCCGGCUAACUUCGUGCCAGCCGCCGCCGUAAUAC